GAUGAACGCUAGCGGGAGGCCUAACACAUGCAAGCCGAGCGGUAUUGUUUCUUCGGAAAUGAGAGAGCGGCGUACGGGUGCGGAACACGUGUGCAACCUGCCUUUAUCUGGGGGAUAGCCUUUCGAAAGGAAGAUUAAUACUCCAUAAUAUAUUGAACGGCAUCGUUUAAUAUUGAAAGCUCCGGCGGAUAGAGAUGGGCACGCGCAAGAUUAGCUAGUUGGUGAGGUAACGGCUCACCAAGGCAAUGAUCUUUAGGGGGCCUGAGAGGGUGAUCCCCCACACUGGUACUGAGACACGGACCAGACUCCUACGGGAGGCAGCAGUGAGGAAUAUUGGUCAAUGGGUGCAAGCCUGAACCAGCCAUCCCGCAUGAAGGACGACUGCCCUAUGGGUUGUAAACUUCUUUUGUAUAGGGAUAAACCUUUCCACGUGUGGAAAGCUGAAGGUACUAUACGAAUAAGCACCGGCUAACUCCGUGCCAGCCGCCGCCGUAAUAC
rnacentral:rRNA from 1 species